rnacentral:rRNA from 1 species
ACUACCUACGGGACGCAGCAGUGAGGAAUAUUGGUCAAUGGUCGGGAGACUGAACCAGCCAUGCCGCGUGAGGGAUGAAGGUACAGAGUAUCGUAAACCUCUUUUGUCAGGGAACAAAGGCGGGGACGUGUCCCCGGAUGAGUGUACCUGAAGAAAAAGCAUCGGCUAACUCUGUGCCAGCAGCCGCGGUAAUACGGAGGAUGCGAGCGUUAUCCGGAUUUAUUGGGUUUAAAGGGUGCGCAGGCGGUCUGUUAAGGCAGCGGUCAAAGCCCGGGGCUCAACCCCGGCCCGCCGCGUAAA